AGGUGUGGACGGAUGGAAAAAAAUCACAGUUAACGUGUUAGAACUGAAAGAGGAAAGGAGGGGUACAGAAUUUCUCAAUCUGGAAACUUGUAAUAACACAAAACCAUGAGUUGGCCUAUACAGUAUUCCUCCUUGGAUUCCUGGCUAGGGACAUGGGGAGGAAAUGAAAGCAACCUGGAGCAACUAUCACAAUCAAUCUGGGACACUGGAAAGAGUCAAGAAGAUCAUUCAUUAAAGAGAAACAUCCAAAAUGAUGGAAGAGCAAAGUGAGGAUCCAAGAAGUUUCUGACAUGGUGUAUGAGUCAAAUGUAUGACAAUGGAGUUAUCUUGGUCAUGCAACAUGUGUUAAACCAGUUUUCUCUGGUUCCUAGUCCAUCCAAUGUGACUACAAUUAAACUAAGCUUAUUCUUCCGGGCAUCUCACACGAUUGUCGUGAGUGUUCCUUGUGCUGAUGGUUAUGGUUCUCUUCCGUUGCAAAGGCUUACAGAGUCUCGGGUAGCUCAGAGUCGUCAGCUACUAUCUCCCUUGACCAUAGAUAACUUCUCAGGGCUGCACCUUGGACCACACCAGAUCAAGUACAAUUCCUUGCUAAAUAAUCACCUCUAACGCUGAAAAUCCUAAAAUCGAAAACAGAAGAUAAGAGGUGCAAAUUUUCAGGAAAAAAAAACCAUCAGUUAUUAAAACAGUGAGAAAAUCAGUAAUGAAAGGCAAAGGAUUCCUGUGGGGAUUCGGAAACGAGCCCCAGACUCCACCAAAGAGCAAGAUGCACUUUUCAUGUUAGACUGUACAAUGAUCCAGUACAGUUUAGCAAGUGCUUAUUCUCUUAAACCUAUCUUUUUCAAAUAUGCUUUCUUUUUACUUGUAAAAAUGUUUUUCAUUGAGACUAUAACAUUUUAGAUUAUUUUUUGUUAAGUUACCUUUAUAGAAUUUUAAAAGGGUGAGUUCUCUGCAUCAUCCCUGGAUAUGACUUUGUAUGUAAAGCAUGACCCAGAAUGAGUGUAAAAAUGUGCUCCUAAGAAUUAACACAAGUGUCUCCUCAAAAUAGGAAUGUUGACAAAACUACCUAAGUAAUUCAUAAAGUAAAUUGUAAGACUCUGCUUUAUUAAACUUUGUUACACCAA